rnacentral:rRNA from 1 species
AGAACGAACGCUGGCGGCAUGCCUAACACAUGCAAGUCGAACGAGACCUUCGGGUCUAGUGGCGCACGGGUGCGUAACGCGUGGGAAUCUGCCCUUGGGUGCGGAAUAACUCGGAGAAAUCCGUGCUAAUACCGCAUAAUGACUUCGGUCCAAAGAUUUAUCGCCCAAGGAUGAGCCCGCGUAAGAUUAGUUAGUUGGUGAGGUAAAAGCUCACCAAGGCGACGAUCUUUAGCUGGUCUGAGAGGAUGAUCAGCCACACUGGGACUGAGACACGGCCCAGACUCCGUACGGGAGGCAGCGAGGUGGGGAAUAUUGGACAAUGGGACGAAAGCCUGAUCCAGACAAUGCCGCGUGAGUGAUGAAGGCCGUUAGGUUGUAAGCUUCUUUUACCGAGGGAUGAUAAUAGACAGUACCGUAGGAGAAAUAAGCGUCCGGACUAACCGUCCGUCGCCAGCGACGCCG